CUACUUCUCAGUGGCCACUGGAGAGCUCUGAACCCAGCCCAGGGUCAACUGCCCGGCACUGUCAGGCAGUUCCUCUGACUCCACAGUACAUUCUAAUUGCAGUCACUCCUGCAAGUGCUCAGAGGACACCCAACCCUAUGAUCUCAGCCAACUCAUGAAGUUUGAUUUCACAACUUAGUGAUGUCUUCCCAGUGGAAUCCUAAAUGAUAAGGAAAAUGGUAUAGAGCCAAGACUUGAACAUUAACAACCCAGGAGCACAGAAACAGCACAGUUAGCUGAGAGGCGUUAUGGAGAGAAGCAACUGAAUGCACACUGAGCGCUGUGAGAA
rnacentral:lncRNA from 1 species